rnacentral:rRNA from 1 species
UACGUAGGGCGCAAGCGUUGUCCGGAAUUAUUGGGCGUAAAGAGCUCGUAGGUGGUUUGUCGCGUUGUUCGUGAAAACUCACAGCUUAACUGUGGGCGUGCGGGCGAUACGGGCAGACUGGAGUACUGCAGGGGAGACUGGAAUUCCUGGUGUAGCGGUGGAAUGCGCAGAUAUCAGGAGGAACACCGGUGGCGAAGGCGGGUCUCUGGGCAGUAACUGACGCUGAGGCGCGAAAGCUAGGGGAGCAAACAGG